rnacentral:rRNA from 1 species
ACCCAGACUCCUACGGGAGGCAGCAGUGGGGGAUAUUGCACAAUGGGGGGAACCCUGAUGCAGCGACGCCGCGUGGGUGAAGGAGUGCUUCGGCAUGUAAAGCCCUAUCGGCAGGGAAGAAGCAAGACGGUACCUGACUAAGAAGCCCCGGCUAACUACGUGCCAGCAGCCGCGGUAAUACGUAGGGGGCGAGCGUUAUCCGGAUUCACUGGGUGUAAAGGGAGCGUAGACGGCCAUGCAAGCCAGGGGUGAAAGCCCGGGGCCCAACCCCGGGACUGCCCUUGGAACUGUGCGGCUAGAGUGCGGGAGGGGCAGGCGGAAUUCCUGGCGUAGCGGUGAAAUGCGUAGAUAUUAGGAAGAACACCAGUGGCGAAGGCGGCUUUCUGGACUGAAACUGACGCUGAGGCACGAAAGCGUGGGGAGCGAACAGGAUUAGAUACCCGUGUA